GCACCCGUAGCUCAAUUGGAUAGAGCGUCUGAYWAYGAAUCAGGAGGUUGGGAGUUCGAGUCUUCCCGGGUGCGCCA
rnacentral:tRNA from 1 species